rnacentral:rRNA from 1 species
UACGUAGGUGACAAGCGUUGUCCGGAUUUACUGGGCGUAAAGAGCGCGCAGGCGGUCGUUCAAGUCGAGUGUGAAAGCCCCCGGCUCAACUGGGGAGGGUCACUCGAUACUGAUCGACUCGAAGGCAGGAGAGGGUAGUGGAAUUCCCGGUGUAGUGGUGAAAUGCGUAGAUAUUGGGAGGAACACCAGUGGCGAAGGCGGCUCACUGGACUGGUACUGACGCUGAUGCGCGAAAGCGUGGGGAGCAAACAGG